rfam:Drosophila grimshawi strain TSC#15287-2541.00 scaffold_15252 genomic scaffold, whole genome shotgun sequence.
GGAAGUGUCUUCUGUGAUUGUUCUCUGUGCAUUGAUCGAUAUAUAGAUAUGCCAUCUGUUUAUCAGAUCUGCUCAGUGCCGACCCUCCGUCACACUUUGUUUCCCAGUAAUUCUGCCUGGCAUUGCUGUGGCAACAGGUUUCGAUUGGCUUUCCGCUGCCUUUGCUACCGACGACGGGUCGAUUAGCAACAGACGCAUGGUUAACGCAUCUGCAUCCACCCCGCCGCCCAACCUCCGCCUCUCGCGUAUCUUAGUCUUCGAUGAUUGGGGUGCGUAGCAUAGGUAACGGGUUGGGCGGGGGGCCGCUAAUGCUUGAAGCCAACAACAGUUGCCCAAGUCAGCCAUUUUCAAAAUUUCUUGGUUAAGUAACUUUGUAGCUUAGCUUCGGAUUUUCGUAAUAAAUUUGCUGUUCAGAACACUUCCAUGUACGCGGCAUUGUCGAGCAAUUUGCCCAUUCUUUUG